GACAGAGGGUGCAAACGUUGUUCGGAAUUACUGGGCGUAAAGCGCGUGUAGGUGGUGGGGCAAGUCGGAUGUGAAAGCCCAGGGCUCAACCCUGGAAGUGCAUUCGAUACUGCUUCACUGGAGUCCCGGAGAGGAUGGUGGAACUCUCGGUGUAGAGGUGAAAUUCGUAGAUAUCGAGAAGAACACCGGCGGCGAAGGCGGCCAUCUGGACGGUGACUGACACUGAGACGCGAAAGCGUGGGGAGCAAACAGG
rnacentral:rRNA from 1 species